UGGAUUCUUCAAUCAGAAGGAAGCACCUACACAAGAACUUGAGCAGACCAUCAGUAAUAGCAUGAACCACAUGCAAAGAUUAAAAAAUAACAACACUUUUUCCUUUCUACUUCAGCUCUUCAGUGUUAAGAUCGUGCCAAAGUCAAGCUUAAUCUACUUGAACAAUUGGACAGCUUAACUUAGAACUUGAGACUAGCUUGUUCCGGAAAGCAUGCAACAAAGAAUCUUGACUGCUUAUCUCUAUGUGAAAGGAUAUACAGAAUAUUAAAUAUAUUGACUCUUAUAAUUCCAUCAUCUACUUUAUCCAUCCAACCCCAAUUUUCCGCUUACAUCAACUUUCCCUAACAUAAUCCAGGGCGUGCCAUCUUUUUAACUCUCCAAAUAACUGAAUUAAAAUAUUUAGAAAAUCUGACAAUACCAACCUGAUAUCUCAAUACCUCUAGAAGCGUUAGACAAAUAAGAAUCUUGUAGACAACUUGAACUAUAAAUGCAAUUAUAAUUAGUCCGAUAGGUGAGUCAAGAUUCAAGAACACCAACCUCUUUCGAGUCACCCUUUCUGGAACCAAUGUGAAGCAGGGUCCAACCUCUGUCAUUCCUCUCCCUAAGCCUCUGCUUGAAAAAUCGCCUGCUGGACAGGUAGCUCCGAGCCUUAAACUGCUUCUCAGGAUACAUAUUCCACCCAGCCCAAGAUUCGACCACGAUGACAAAGAAGAAAUCAAAGUUCUAUACCCCGCAACUUCUCGACCAAAUCACACUUCUUUUUCCAGCACAAGUGUCCCGGGAGAGCACGCAACAAAGAACCCAACCCGAAAACAAGAUAAAAGGCUUCAGAUAGUCGCCACAACGAUGAGAAAAGCACCCAAAGGCGCGAAUGGAUUCAACCCGGGGCCGAAGGAGCGGAGAUGGGCGCAACGAUGGACGCGAGCGCAAAAGGAGAGGAAACAAUCAUAAUUGAAGACGCCUCUUGAUUGCUCCGAUCAAAUAGGAUGAAACCCUAGAACGAAACGGAUUAAACGAAGAGACAACGCCCGAAGGAAAUCGGGGUGAGGAUUGAAGGGGAGGAAUCAUGUAGAAGCUGCAAGUCUUGUUCGAA
rnacentral:lncRNA from 1 species